GAUUACUCAAGAUCAACCAACCCACUUUGUGGAGUCCUGGUGAUUCAUAGUAACCGAACGGAUCGCAAUUGGCUUCGGCCCGCGAUAGAUCUUUCAAGUUUCUGACCUAUCAGCUUUCGACGGUAGGGUAUUGGCCUACCGUGGCAGUGACGGGUAACGGGGAAUUAGGGUUCGAUUCCGGAGAGGGAGCCUGAGAAACGGCUACCACAUCUAAGGAAGGCAGCAGGCGCGCAAAUUACCCAAUGAAAACAGUUUCGAGGUAGUGACGAGAAAUAACAAUACAGGGCAUUUUAUGCUCUGUAAUUGGAAUGAUGGGAAUGUAAAACCCUUCCAGAGUAACAAUUGGAGGGCAAGUCUGGUGCCAGCAGCCGCGGUAAUUCCAGCUCCAAUAGUGUAUAUUAGAGUUGUUGCAGUUAAAAAGCUCGUAGUUGGAUUUCUGCUGUGGUCAUCCGGUACCGCCCGUACGGGUGCGCACCUGGUUUGGCUGCGGCUUUCUUCCUGUAGCCGUCCGCGCUUAAUUGCGUGUGGUGUGUUGCGGAACUUUUACUUUGAGAAAAAUAGAGUGUUUCAAGCAGGCUUGUCGCCCUGAAUACUUCAGCAUGGAAUAAUAGGAUAGGACCUUGGUUCUAUUUUGUUGGUUUCUAGGACCAAGGUAAUGAUUAAUAGGGACAGUUGGGGGCAUUCGUAUUUAACUGUCAGAGGUGAAAUUCUUAGAUUUGUUAAAGACGAACUACUGCGAAAGCAUUUGCCAAGGAUGUUUUCAUUAAUCAAGAACGACAGUAGGGGUGUAAAAAAAAAAAAAAUUAAAAA
rnacentral:rRNA from 1 species